rnacentral:tRNA from 1 species
GGGAAGGUGGCUCAGUGGUAGAACGCUUGCCUAGCAUGCAUGAGGCCCUGGGUUCGAUUCCUCAGC